rnacentral:lncRNA from 1 species
UCUCUUCCUCCAGGGUCCUCCAGGUUCCUCCAAUGAUUCUGGAGAUGCCCAUUUGGAACUGAAAGCCUCUGAUACUGUAAGGUGGAAGGGAUGAUGCUCCAAACAAGGACUAACCAGUGAUCGCACCAGCUCCUCUUAGAAGCUUCUGAGGCCUAUGGGGCCUUUCGUGGGCUGCCUCUCGUCUCCCCCCACUCUUGGCUUCUCAAUUUACUCCUUUGGAUCUUUCCAGAAACCGUCUUGGGCAGUUCUGAAACAAAGGUCACCUAGUGGCCAUAAACAAAAAACAUUUUGAAAUCAUCAUUUCCCACAAAGACUUCUGUCUUGA